ACGCCAAAAGCGCUACUCCCUGUAACUGUUUCAAAGCCCAGACAUCGGCCAGAGCGAUGGGCAAGGGAAAAAAUAAAAGGCAUCCAAAUUGGACGGAAGCAGCAAAACUCUCUGUUCAGAGAUGUCACCAUCUUACUGCAGAAAACCGUAGAGAUGCCACCUGUCCUCUCUGGAACUAGUUAGAGCCAGGACAAGGGCCCAGGUGUCCUUCCUAAAACAAUGAUUGCUUGGGACCCUGGGGGCUUGGUGUGCAGUUGUCUAGCGCCGGUGCUCUGGAAUGUGCCUACGAUGGCUUCACCGGCUCACUCUCACCCAGUCCUUCCUUAGGUGUUGUCUAUUGUGCUGGAAGACUCUUAAGGAAAUCAUGAGCUCCUUGUCCUUACAGGGAGGACAGACAACUCUUUGCACUAUGAGGCACGUGUAAAGUGGGGGUUCAGGUCCCAGCAAGAGUAGAGGCAGGUAAAGGAGCAAAACCCAGAAUUUCAUGGAGUCCUUCAGGCUCCGCACCUCCGGGUGAAGCCCGGCUCAGGGUGUGUGUCCCCAGACAACCACAAUUUCUGCUUUGCCAACCGGAGCGUGAGGUCCCCGUGCUGUGGCUGACAGCCCUGUUCCUGCUCAGCUGGAAUUCAGGUUCCAACUGACUUUUCAGAUUUAAAACAGUCUCCCCCAUCUCUGAGAAAAAAAAAAGACAACCCUCAAAAAGAAAGUGUCGUCAGGUCGGCCUUAUCAUCUAGGACAGGACUUUGGGUUUUCUUGGUUUUGACACAGUUUGACAAGUCUUAGAAGAGGUGUGACAGCACAUGGCGUUAGAAGUACUUAGAACCAUAGAGAAGGUUUGAAUUGACGAAAAACGGAUGUGUCAAAAGUGAACACACACAUCCACACCAAAGCGUGUACACAGACGUUCGUGGCAUCUUUAUUCACAACAGCCGAGAAGUGGAUACAGGCCCGACGUCCUUCACAGGGGGCAUGAAUACGUAAAACGUGGCGCCACACACUACACAAGAGGUGGAGCAGUGUGGACAACGCCGAUCCGUCUUUGGCCUCCGCCGUGUUCAGCGAGGAUCGUUGACCGCUCGACGCCCCCGUCAGGGAGUCGCCCCGAGCAAUCUGAGCAAACCGGGGAAGUGGCCGGCCCCGAUUUCUGGUCUCAAAGUGCCUUCUCAGUCCGGGGGACAUAUCUUGCCUCCCGCUCCUGCCACAACACGGGGGCACCCGAAACAUUACGUGAAUGAAGCCAGACACAGAAGGACACCUGCUGUAGGAGUCUAUUUACGGAAAUGUGCCAGUAGGCCAAUCCAGAGAGACAGAAAUUUGAACUUUUGGCAUACCAAGGACGUAAACAGAAUUCUGGAGGUGAUUCUGAGGCUGCUGUGGGGCAUGGUGUUGGAGCUGUAGCUCCAGUCUACCCUAGAGUCCGAGGGAGGCCCCUCUUAGCGCGACCCCGGCAGCAUGGGAGGCUCUCAGGAAGGACAGCCCUGUGCAUCAGGACAGAGGAGGCUCUGGGAACCUCUGGGACUUGCGGCUUGCUCACCCAAAGCUCCCCACUCACCCCUGCUGGGGAGUGACCGCGCAGUGCCUGGGCAGGCCGUCCACCCCCCCCUCCGGCACUCCCACGGGACAAGCGGCUGCUGGACCGGGAACGGGCAGGCAAGUUGACCAGGGGGGAGAGGCAUGACGAAAGCUGCACUUGGCUUUAGCAUUAAGGCCGGCACUGGGUGGAGGGUCCCACGGGGAAGGUCAGCACCUCCCCUGGAGGAGCCGGUGCGGCCCCCCAGGUCCCUCCGGCUGUCCCCCUGCCGCCGUGGGCCCGUCCGUCCACAGUGGUCACGCUCGCCAGCUCUCUCUGCCUCCCUGGGCUGGCUGAAAGUGCUUGGUGCCUGGGAGGGAGAGGUGGGGCUGGAUGCCCACGCUGCCCCCAAAGGGCUCUCAUUUGAGGAUGAAGUUAAUGAGCAGCUGACACGCCAGGAACACACAGAGCAGGAACCAGGAUCGGGGGUGCUGCAGGAGGCCUGGCGCCGGCACCUGCCUAGCCCUUGCCGUGGAGCUCAGCAUGGCUGAGAGGUGCCUGCAACGACAGGGGGGGAGAGUGGCUAAGCCAGGGUGGGGGUGCAUCCCUACCUUCAAUGGAUGGCUUAGUGCGCAGGGGCCCCCAGGCGCAGAUUCCAGGGAAAGGGGUUCAUGGCUGGGGGAGCUGGGCCUCUUGUAGCCUCUUUUCCACUCGUGCUGUGACGGGCUGAGCUGGACCACCUUGCCCCAAUAGUCCCAUGUUGGAGUCCUGACCCAACAGGUCAGAUGUGACUCUGUUUGGAGAAGGGGUCUUUAAGAAGCGAUUCAGUUUAAGUGAGGUCACGGGAGUGAGCUCUAAUCCAGUGUGACCGGGGUCCUUAUAAGAAAAGGACAUCAGGACACAGCCCCGCAUGGAGGGAUGACCCCGUGAGGACCCAGAGAGAGCACCGCUGUCCACCCACGAGAGAGGCUUCGGGGGAAUCCAGCCCUGCCCACGCCUGCAUCCCGGGCGUCGGACUCCUGGACUGGGGGACAGUGAACGUCUAUUGCAUAAGCCCCCGUCUGUAGACUAUGUCAGGGCCACACCCAGGACACUCGUAACCUCGCCCUGACUGGCUGCACUGUGUGUCUGCAGAAACGUCUGGCUGUUCUCCUGGCUCCCUGCCUCGUGGCCAGCCUCCUCUGUGGUGCCAGGGGGCUGACUCACUCUGACUCAAGUGCGGCUGGGCCAGCCCAUGCCUGGACUUCCAGCCCCCAGCUGCUUUUUCCCUGCACAGAGCUCAGGGACCAAGCAUCGCUGGCUCAUCCUGUUUAAACAAGACCCCCUACAGUGUGGCACCCCCAACUCCCCCCCGCAACCCCCCUACCGGCCUGCCCCGGGUAGAGCUGGCCACCUUCUUCCUGUCCUCCAUCCAUCAGACCCUCUGCAAACCACGGGGGUUCUAGUUCUGAGCGACGCACGGCCUCCCCGGCCUCAGCAGCUCCCUGGCCCCGUCCCCGGGAGCGACACUUACCUGUGCAGCUCCUGCUGGGCCUCCCGGAUCGACAGGAUGGCCUCGUGCAGUGCCUGCAGCCGCCGCGCCUCCUUCCCACACCGUGGGCACGGGCUCCUGCUGCCUGGGAUGUCCGGCCACCGGUCACAGGACCCAGGGGACAGGGGGUGGAGGGAGAAUCAAAGACGAGCCGGCAUGUCCGGGGAGCCGCCACGCAGGGUCCCGGGGUCGUGCCCGGCUUGGGCCCCUGCCCCACCUCUUGGGAGCCUUCAGGUGAAGCUAACAACACGGGGAGUCGACGGACAGGCAUAGAGGGAACCCCCAAGCUCAGCGGGCCUCUAAUAAGCCCUGGGAGACAGAAAUGGCAAGGCACAGCUCAUGCACCUAGAGACGGGGACAAAGUCGGGGAGGAGCCGGCACACCCGUGAGGACAACAGGAGGCACAAUCAGAUGGUCAUACGGAGAGACGGAUACUGUCCAGCCCUGCCCCUUGCACCGCCCCUGCCAGCCAAAGGGGGUGCCGCACCGUCUGAGUGCAGGGCUGGGGACUGCUGCCCUCCGCACCCCUGGUCUGCCCCUGGGCUCGGGGAGGCGUGGAGGACCCUGGGAGGGCGGUCAAGGUGCAGCACACAGCUGCCCAGGGAAGGUGCUUCUCUGGCCUCUCCCACCCUGCAGAGUAGCCGGCCCAGGAGGGCUCACCGGGAAUGAAGGUGCUGCCGUCCCCCUC